UACGUAGGGUCCGAGCGUUGUCCGGAAUUAUUGGGCGUAAAGAGCUCGUAGGCGGUUUGUCGCGUCUGCUGUGAAAUCCCGAGGCUCAACCUCGGGUCUGCAGUGGGUACGGGCAGACUGGAGUGCGGUAGAGGAGAAUGGAAUUCCCGGUGUAGCGGUGAAAUGCGCAGAUAUCGGGAAGAACACCCGUGGCGAAGGCGGUUCUCUGGGACGGUACUGACGCUGGAGACGCGAAAGCGUGGGGAGCGAACAGG
rnacentral:rRNA from 1 species